rnacentral:rRNA from 1 species
GCUGGCGGCGUGCUUACCAUGCAGUCGAACGAUGAUCCCAGCUUGCUGGGGGAUUAGUGGCGAACGGGUGAGUAACACGUGAGUAACCUGCCCUUAACUCUGGGAUAAGCCUGGGAAACUGGGUCUAAUACCGGAUAUGACUCCUCAUCGCAUGGUGGGGGGUGGAAAGCUUUUUGUGGUUUUGGAUGGACUCGCGGCCUAUCAGCUUGUUGGUGAGGUAAUGGCUCACCAAGGCGACGACGGGUAGCCGGCCUGAGAGGGUGACCGGCCACACUGGGACUGAGACACGGCCCAGACUCCUACGGGAGGCAGCAGUGGGGAAUAUUGCACAAUGGGCGAAAGCCUGAUGCAGCGACGCCGCGUGAGGGAUGACGGCCUUCGGGUUGUAAACCUCUUUCAGUAGGGAAGAAGCGAAAGUGACGGUACCUGCAGAAGAAGCGCCGGCUAACUACGUGCCAGCAGCCGCGGUAAUACGUAGGGCGCAAGCGUUAUCCGGAAUUAUUGGGCGUAAAGAGCUCGUAGGCGGUUUGUCGCGUCUGCCGUGAAAGUCCGGGGCUCAACUCCGGAUCUGCGGUGGGUACGGGCAGACUAGAGUGAUGUAGGGGAGACUGGAAUUCCUGGUGUAGCGGUGAAAUGCGCAGAUAUCAGGAGGAACACCGAUGGCGAAGGCAGGUCUCUGGGCAUUAACUGACGCUGAGGAGCGAAAGCAUGGGGAGCGAACAGGAUUAGAUACCCUGGUAGUCCAUGCCGUAAACGUUGGGCACUAGGUGUGGGGGACAUUCCACGUUUUCCGCGCCGUAGCUAACGCAUUAAGUGCCCCGCCUGGGGAGUACGGCCGCAAGGCUAAAACUCAAAGGAAUUGACGGGGGCCCGCACAAGCGGCGGAGCAUGCGGAUUAAUUCGAUGCAACGCGAAGAACCUUACCAAGGCUUGACUUGGGCCGGACCGGGCUGGAAACAGUCCUUCCCCUUUGGGGCCGGUCCCAGGGGGGGCAGGGUGUCCUCACCUCCGGCCCGGAAAUUUGGGUUAAUCCCCCACAGAGCGACCCUCG